rnacentral:piRNA from 1 species
UGAGAUUGUGUCAAACAAUGAGGAGGCCUGC